rnacentral:tRNA from 1 species
GCGCUCAUAGCCCAACUAUUAAAGGCAACGGAUUCAAAAUCCGUUCCAGCGCAGGUUCGAAUCCUGCUGAGCGCAC